GAAGGCCCCAAAAAUAAUCCUAAUUUUGCCCGUUUUAUUUGCCUGCUCCAUCCACCCGAGACCCGUUAACCCAUCUGCCCAGCACAGUUUGUUCCUUAAUUUAUGCCGUUCAAUUCUCUUCCUCUGAAUUCAAAUUUCCAAUCAUGUGGAUUAACCUCUUGGAUUAUGUGGCAUCCUCUUGGAUUCAUACGGGCUUCAACCUGUGAUAUCAAAAAUCAUAACCGUGUCGCCGGUGUGUAUUAUCUUCGUGUUUCAUCAAGUUUGAUUUAAAGGUCGGAAACGAAUUACUCUCAGAUGCCGUCUCUCCCUUCGAUAAAAGAUGAUAGUUUUUGAUUGAUGCAUAUAAGGUGUUUGAUUUGUGAUUCUAUGUGGGUUUGUUUGAUUUUGUCAAAAGCCAGUGUCACUAAGUGUCCACUCUCCUUCGUCGUCAGAUAAGGGUAUUGGUUUGUCUGUAUUUUAAAUUCAGUCAUUUAUUUUACUUUAAAUUUUUCUCUUCUGCUCUCAAUUUGAGUUCUGUAUGUAGAUAUUCAUUUUCAUCUAUAAUUAAUAUCACUUGAUAUUAUUUUACAUUGUUUCAUAAGGAUGUAUAUAUAGUUUUGAACUAAAUCAAUAGCUACAAUUCGUGGAAGAAAAUAGUUGUAUCAUGUCGAUUCCCUUCAGGUUUUUUCUUCUCUUUAUGAUUUGUUUAUUUAUUUUAAUAUAUCUAAGACCUAGCUUCUUAUCAUAAUGAUUCUUUAUAAUCUUGAUUUCUUUGGAUGUUGUAGCGAUGCAUAGUCUAUAAACAGGGAAGAAAAAAUGGAGGGACCAAGUUAGAAACCUUCCUUUUUAAACACAACUAACAUCAUAAUCCUUGGAUUGGUGAUUGAGAUUUCUUUCGAAUUGUUUCUUACUGACCAGAAGUGGACGGAAAAUAAUUUUUUCCUAAAUGAUUCUCUAUAGUCCUGCGUUGUGCACACAUUAGAAACAACCCUUACUCGAAUAGAAAAGCAAGUACAUUUUUGAUCCUACAAUCUUGCAUCUCAUCACAGAUUUUCUCGGAAGUGGCCAGAAUUGUCUAAGGUGUACAGGUGCUCCGCGAUUGGUUGCUUCUGUUGCCAGUGCAUAAGCACAAUAAUCUGGCUAGCAACUUGAGUUUCUUCUUUCAGAAAUCGGAUCGAAGUUUGUCACCCUGGCCGCGAUGGUAUGGUGGUAGCCAGAAUCAUAAAAGAAUACACAAAAAAGUGGUGGAAAUCCCACCUAUAUAUAUGUGUACCUACUAAAGACUAAAGACUAGAAGCUACAAAAAGAUGCAAGAUAUUCAAAUUGGGAAUGAGUUUUGUUCAUUAUCACCCAGUUGAAGAGACGGAAGAUGUACAUAUCUCUGACUGCCCUGUCUUUAUAAUAUCUGGAAACUCUUCGUGCAUCGCAACAAAGGACAUGUGGAACGAAAUCAAAGAGGGAAUAUAGUGUACAGACUACCUUUUGUCGUGAUCUCAGGCCUGGACUCCAUAUCGGCGUUUUCUUCCUCGGACAAAUCUGCCGCCCCUUCUACUGCAGCGCGGCUGUUUGAAUGCAUGCAAGGGGAGAGAAGUGUUUUGCUUUAGCUUUUUUGGACAAUUAUUAGGCUCCUCUUUUUAAGUUGUGCCUUAUGUAAAGACCUUUUUAGAUGUGUCUAAUUGAUAUUUCGUCUCUAUUUAAUUUAUUUAGGAGUUAA